GUUCAAAUAAAGAGCUAACGCCGCAAAGUGCGAGUGCCGGAGAUAAGCGCCGGAAUUGAACGUAAUUU
rnacentral:sRNA from 1 species